rnacentral:rRNA from 1 species
UACGAAGGGGACUAGCGUUGUUCGGAAUCACUGGGCGUAAAGCGCACGUAGGCGGCUUUGUAAGUUAGAGGUGAAAGCCCGGGGCUCAACUCCGGAAUUGCCUUUAAGACUGCAUCGCUAGAAUUGUGGAGAGGUAAGUGGAAUUCCGAGUGUAGAGGUGAAAUUCGUAGAUAUUCGGAAGAACACCAGUGGCGAAGGCGACUUACUGGACACAUAUUGACGCUGAGGUGCGAAAGCGUGGGGAGCAAACAGG